rnacentral:rRNA from 1 species
GAAUAAAGUUAGGCACGUGUGCCUUUUUGUAUGUACCGUAUGAGUAAGGAUCGGCUAACUCCGUGCCAGCAGCCGCGGUAAUACGGAGGAUCCGAGCGUUAUCCGGAUUUAUUGGGUUUAAAGGGAGCGUAGGCGGAUGCUUAAGUCAGUUGUGAAAGUUUGCGGCUCAACCGUAAAAUUGCAGUUGAUACUGGGUGUCUUGAGUACAGUAGAGGCAGGCGGAAUUCGUGGUGUAGCGGUGAAAUGCUUAGAUAUCACGAAGAACUCCGAUUGCGAAGGCAGCUUGCUGGACUGUAACUGACGCUGAUGCUCGAAAGUGUGGGUAUCAAACAGGAUUAGAUACCCUGGUAGUCCACACAGUAAACGAUGAAUACUCGCUGUUUGCGAUAUACAGUAAGCGGCCAAGCGAAAGCGUUAAGUAUUCCACCUGGGGAGUACGCCGGCAACGGUGAAACUCAAAGGAAUUGACGGGGGCCCGCACAAGCGGAGGAACAUGUGGUUUAAUUCGAUGAUACGCGAGGAACCUUACCCGGGCUUAAAUUGCAGAUGAAUGUUCUGGAAACAGAUCAGCCGCAAGGCAUUUGUGAAGGUGCUGCAUGGUUGUCGUCAGCUCGUGCCGUGAGGUGUCGGCUUAAGUGCCAUAACGAGCGCAACCCUUAUCGAUAGUUACUAUCAGGUUAUGCUGGGGACUCUGUCGAGACUGCCGUCGUAAGAUGUGAGGAAGGUGGA